UGAGUCGGUCGGGCGGCCGCGGCGGCACGGUCCUCGGAUCGGCGUCGUCGAGGAAAGUCCGGGCUUCGCAGGGCACGGUGGUGGGUAACGCCCACCCGGGGUGACCCGCGGGACAGUGCAACAGAGAGCAGACCGCCUCGUGCCUCCGGGCGCGGGGUAAGGGUGAAACGGUGGUGCAAGAGACCACCAGCACCCCAGGUGACUGGGGUGGCUAUGCAAACCCCACCCGAAGCAAGGUCAAGACGGAUCGGCGUCCGCGUCGGUCCUGCGUGAGCGUUCGAGGGUGGCCCGCCCGAGCUCACGGGUAGACCGCUGGAGGCUGUCGGCAACGGCAGUCGUAGAGGGAUGGCCGCGCAGGGGAGUCCGGCAACGGACCCCUGGACAGGACCCGGCUUACAGACCGACUCAUCCG
rnacentral:RNase_P_RNA from 1 species